rnacentral:tRNA from 1 species
GCCCGAAUGGCGAAAUAGGUAGACGCAGGAGACUUAAAAUCUCUCGCCAGUAAUGGCGUGCCGGUUCGAGUCCGGCUUCGGGCACCA